rnacentral:rRNA from 1 species
UACGAAGGGGGCUAGCGUUGUUCGGAAUCACUGGGCGUAAAGCGCUCGUAGGCGGAUCUUUUAAGUUAGAGGUGAAAUCCCAAGGCUCAACCUUGGAACUGCCUUUGAUACUGGGGAUCUCGAGUCCGGGAGAGGUGAGUGGAACUGCGAGUGUAGAGGUGAAAUUCGUAGAUAUUCGCAAGAACACCAGUGGCGAAGGCGGCUCACUGGCCCGGUACUGACGCUGAGGCACGAAAGCGUGGGGAGCAAACAGG